AGCGAACGCUGGCGGCGGGCUUAACACAUGCAAGUCGAGCGGGCAUAGCAAUAUGUCAGCGGCAGACGGGUGAGUAACGCGUGGGAACGUACCUUUUGGUUCGGAACAACACAGGGAAACUUGUGCUAAUACCGGAUAAGCCCUUACGGGGAAAGAUUUAUCGCCGAAAGAUCGGCCCGCGUCUGAUUAGCUAGUUGGUGGGGUAAAGGCCCACCAAGGCGACGAUCAGUAGCUGGUCUGAGAGGAUGAUCAGCCACAUUGGGACUGAGACACGGCCCAAACUCCUACGGGAGGCAGCAGUGGGGAAUAUUGGACAAUGGGGGCAACCCUGAUCCAGCCAUGCCGCGUGAGUGAUGAAGGCCCUAGGGUUGUAAAGCUCUUUUGUGCGGGAAGAUAAUGACGGUACCGCAAGAAUAAGCCCCGGCUAACUUCGUGCCAGCAGCCGCCGUAA
rnacentral:rRNA from 1 species